GAUGAACGCUGGCGGCGUGCUUAACACAUGCAAGUCGAACGGGAAUUCUUUUAUUGACACUUCGGUCGAUUUAAUUUAAUUCUAGUGGCGGACGGGUGAGUAACGCGUGGGUAACCUGCCUUAUACAGGGGGAUAACAGUCAGAAAUGGCUGCUAAUACCGCAUAAGCGCACAGAGCUGCAUGGCUCAGUGUGUAAAACUCCGGUGGUAUAAGAUGGACCCGCGUUGGAUUAGCUGGUUGGUGGGGUAACGGCCCACCAAGGCGACGAUCCAUAGCCGGCCGGGGAGGGUGAACGGCCACAUUGGGACUGAGACACGGCCCAGACUCCUACGGGAGGCAGCAGUGGGGAAUAUUGCACAAUGGGGGAAACCCUGAUGCAGCGACGCCGCGUGAAGGAAGAAGUAUCUCGGUAUGUAAACUUCUAUCAGCAGGGAAGAUAGUGACGGUACCUGACGAAGAAGCCCCGGCUAACUACGUG
rnacentral:rRNA from 1 species